CGGACGGGUGAGUAACACGUGAGAAUUCACCUUUAGGUGGGGGAAUAACUUUUGGAAACGAUAGCUAAUGCCCCAUAUACUCGCAAGAGAGAAAAGAGUAAUCUGCCUAAAGAGAAGCUCGCGGCUGAUUAGCUAGUUGGUAAGGUAAUGGCUUACCAAGGCGACGAUCAGUAGCUGGUUUGAGAGAACGAUCAGCCACACUGGAACUGAGACACGGUCCAG
rnacentral:rRNA from 1 species